GAUGAACGCUAGCGGCAGGCCUAAUACAUGCAAGUCGAACGGUAACAUUGGUGCUUGCACCAGAUGACGAGUGGCGCACGGGUGCGUAACGCGUAUGCAACCUACCUUUUACUAGAGUAUAGCCCAGAGAAAUUUGGAUUAAUCCUCUAUAACAUCUUUUAAUUUCAUGAUUUUAAGAUUAAAGUUUUAACGGUAAAAGAUGGGCAUGCGUCCUAUUAGUUUGUAGGUGAGGUAACGGCUCACCUAGACUACGAUAGGUAGGGGCCCUGAGAGGGGGAUCCCCCACACUGGUACUGAGACACGGACCAG
rnacentral:rRNA from 1 species